UUCAAGGCUUUGCUAAAAGCCACAAUUGGUUAGUGAAAAGAACAG
rfam:Nicotiana sylvestris Nsyl_contig22704, whole genome shotgun sequence.